rnacentral:rRNA from 1 species
UACGUAGGGUGCAAGCGUUGUCCGGAAUUACUGGGCGUAAAGGGCGCGUAGGCGGUCCGCUAAGUUCGGCGUGAAAUCCCCUGGCUCAACUGGGGAACGGCGCUGGAUACUGGUGGACUCGAGUACCGGAGAGGAGAGUGGAAUUCCUGGUGUAGCGGUGAAAUGCGUAGAUAUCAGGAGGAACACCGGUGGCGAAGGCGGCUCUCUGGACGGAUACUGACGCUGAGGCGCGAAAGCGUGGGGAUCAAACAGG